rnacentral:lncRNA from 1 species
GUUUAAAUUGGAUUAAAUCUCUAACUAAUAACAUUAUGGAAUAUAUAUAAAACGAAUAGGAAACGUUUCUUCCAUCACAUUUUGACAUGAAUAACAUGAGACCAAAUACCGUGAUAUAAGUCAGACUCUCUAUGUCUCUCUCUCUCUCUCCUCCGCCAAACAUUUCUCUGAUCCAAAUAUUUCCUUGACACAAUAAAUUAUAAAGACUGUUCUAUAAAUGAG